rnacentral:rRNA from 1 species
GUCUACAGACAUUCUACCCUGAACGUGCCCGAUCUCAUCUGAUCUCAGAAGCUAAGCAGGGAAUAUCAGGUGCUGUAGGCA